rnacentral:rRNA from 1 species
AACUAAAAUUAAUAUAAUUUUUAUAUUUCACGGAAGUUGAAGGGAGCUAAGUUAUUAUUUUAUUUAUAGAUACCCAAGAUGUUGCAUAAUUUAGAAAAUAAUAAUUAGGAGUGAUAGGCUUACCAUACUCAACGAUAACUUGAUGGCUUGGAAAUGUACUAGUACAGGGGCACUCUUGAAGUGAUAAGGUUUUAAGGGGGUAACAAAUAUUUAAUUAAAUUGAGUAUAUUGUUUAAUCGUUUAUACAAUAAUAAUCUAACAUUUAUUUACUAAAGCUGUUUAAUUUAAAGGCCUAUUGAUUAAUUAAUUUCAAAUAAAUAAUGUUAAUAUUAGUAACUUAAAGAUAUUUGUAAAGAACUCGGCAAUAAGUCUUUCAACUGUUUAUCAAAAACAUAGCUAUAUGAAUUGAUAUAUAGUAUUUUCUGCUCAAUGAAUAUUAAAUAGCCGCAGUACCCUGACUGUGCUAAGGUAGCGCAAUCAAUUGACUUUUGAAUGAAGUCCUGUAUGAAAGAAAACAUGAAGGGCUACUUUUUUAUUAAUAAUAAAUGAAUUUACUUAAGAAGUGCAAAUUCUUCUAAAUAAAUAAUAGACGAAAAGACCCUAGAAAUUUUGAGAGGGACUUUUUGUUGGGGGCAACAAAGUAGUAUAAUAAAUUCUACUAUUAAAACAAGAAAAGUAUAUUUUGAAAGAA